rnacentral:rRNA from 1 species
UAGCCUUGACAUAUUUUAGAACUCCGUAGAGAUACAGAGGUGCCUUCGGGAGCUAAUUUACAGGUGCUGCACGGCUGUCGUCAGCUCGUGUCGUGAGAUGUUGGGUUAAGUCCCGCAACGAGCGCAACCCUCGUCACUAGUUACUAACGGUUCGGCCGAGGACUCUAGUGAGACUGCCUUCGUAAGGAGGAGGAAGGUGAGGACGACGUCAAGUCAUCAUGGCCCUUACGGCUAGGGCAACACACGUGCUACAAUGGCCAGGACAGUGAGACGCGAUACCGUGAGGUGGAGCAAAUCUAUAAACCUGGUCUCAGUUCGGAUUGUAGUCUGCAACUCGACUACAUGAAGCUGGAAUCACUAGUAAUCGUAGAUCAGCUAUGCUACGGUGAAUUCGUUACCGCGGGUCU